UGACUGAGCCACCCAGGCACCCCUAAAUGAAUUUUUAAAAAAAAAAUUAAAUUCGUUGCCAACCAUUUAAAAAUUGCAGGCUCAUAUAUACAAAUCCAAUUUCUGGCUUCUCUUGGAAACUUGGAAGAGCUGGCUGCAUGAAGUUAUUCAUUCCUGCCUGGUAACAGUUGGCAGGAGCUGAAGUGGGUCAAGUAGGCUUUCUGAUUUCACCCCAGAUCCUGUCUCCACCACUACCUGCUUUCAAAAAGUAGAUUAUCAUCCAUCAAACUUCUGUUCAAGUAGGAGAUGCUGUGAUUACUGGCAAACUUGGCUGCUCAUUUAACGACAUUGUAUAGUGCAAAUACCUCUGUAUUGAUUAAAGUGAAAAAUAUAAGAGAACCAGGAGCAAUGUGGAUAAAUCUGAUGUUCAUUUGUGAAAGUGUAGAAUCUGUAUUUUCAUUUUUCUUUAAUUAUAGUAGUCAUUGAACAGAAUCAGUGACCAAGUGUCUCAUUUGAAUGUAUUUUCAGUUUGAUUCUACACGUGAAGUUUGCAUUCUGUGAUAUCACCACAUUGUUACAUGGACCUGGGCCAGUGUUUCUCCAUCUUUGUUGAGCGUUGGAAGGAGAUAGGAAGCUUGUGAAAAAUAUCAUGCUUGGGCCCAACCCCAUGGAUUCUGACUGGGGAGUUUUGGAGGUGUUAAAGAGAAAUUGAAGACAGACUAGCCCUGAGACUUCCCUCUUGAUAUUCCUGCUCCCCGCAACAUUCACUCAAUUAUUUUAUUAUGUGUUGACAUCAUUCUCAAUGGAAUGGAUGAUGGUAUUCUGGCAGAGUCUCCUUCCAAAUUUUGCUGAGUGUCACUAAACCACAGCAUUGAAAGGGACUUUAAAGAUCACCUCAUCCCAUCGGGUGCCCGGGUCCCCACCAUAUCAGCCUUCUGUGGUGCAAGUAAUAGAAACCAACUUUGUGUAAGUUAAACCAAAAAAGGUAUUUAUUCUAUUAAUACAGAUGGCUCAUAGAAUUAAAAAAAAAACCCUGAAGAACCGGCUAAGAGGAGUUAGAACCCAUAUUGACUCUGGGGAGCUAGGUGCUGGGUGCUGACAAUGUCUUUAAGUAUUACCCACUGGUGACCUCAGGGUAUUAUUUUAGGGAGUUUUAAUGUCCCCUCACCAACCCUCAGUCAGGGUAGUAGAGAUUCCUUAUAUUUAUUCAAAAUUCUAUGUACAAGUAGUUUAAAAUUGUCUCCCAAAACUUGCCCUCAACCAGAUUGCCACCCCAUCCUUUCUACACAGAAAUGAUAAGCCUGCCACUUAUAAUAGGUACCUUUUCAUGUUCUACAAUUUAUAUGAUUGGAAUCCUAAAAUGUUUACUCUUUUUUGUAUGUGAUUUCUUUGAUGUUUCAUAAUUACUUUGAGAUCCAUCAAUGAUAUUCUAUGAGUUAGCUCAGCCUUUUUUUCUUCUUUUUUUUUUUUUUUUUUGGCUGAGUAAUGUUCUUUGGAUCUACUGCUAUUAGUUUAUCCAUUCAUCUGUUUAUGAACAUUUGAGUUAUUUCCCUUUUUUGAUGAUGGAAAAUAAAGCAGGAUAAAUAUUUGUGUAUAAUUAUUAAUCGGGGGAAAAGGCUUUUUUUUCUGCCUCAAAGGGAAUCUUUGUUAAUCAUGUGUGCUUCACACAUGCUGUUUUUUAAGAAACCCAACUUUCUAGAGAAACGCAUUCCUCAAGACUGGCUGCAGCUUCCCAUCAUGAGUCUUGUAUUAAAAGAAAACCACAGUGGUACAAUUUGUUUUUGUUAUGUUGCCUUCUAAAUAAACUUUUUUAAUUUUUUUAAAGUUUGCUUAUUUAUUUUGAGAG